AAAAAAAAAAAAAUUUGACCCCCAAAAAAUUACCCUCAUUUCAAGUAAAAGAGCCCUAAAUUUUCAUAAAAAAAAAAAAAAAAAAAAAAAAAAAAAAAAAAAAACACCCAAAAAAACACCAAAUUUUCUUACUCCCAAAAAAAAAACCGGGAUAACAGGCAGAGAAAAAAUUCUGUGGGAUUUAAGAGAAAAAAAAUCCCCAGUGCGCCCCAACCUUGAUUUUUAAUUAAUUUUAUCAAUAUAGUCUAGUAAUAAAACGGAUCAAUACUACUACAACUUAAAUUGCUUUUUACAUUUGUGAAGUGCUAUAGACA
rnacentral:lncRNA from 1 species